AUUGGAAGCUAUUUUGUAGAUGACAUCGCCGAAGUUGAGGAUCGGUAGGAUAUUCCGUUUUACUAGGGUAAGUUUGGCAGGCGAGUGAUGGAGGCUUUGUUGCGAAAUAGAAAGCCGAUUUUAGAUCUGAUUUUGGAUUGUGUGUGUCUCCAAAUCCGUAUAAGUGCAUGGUGUGGAGCAGCUAGCUGUAGGAGGGAGGAUGGUCUACUCUACCUGUUCACUCAACACUGUAGAGGACGAAGCUGUCAUAGCAACAGUACUGGAGAAGAGUAACACACACACACACACGCAUGCAUGCACAAAUCCAGUGUCUCAGACACACCCACACCGGUGAUAACUGCCUCAGCUCCUUUGUCUUUCUCCAGGUGCGUUAGAGUUGGCAGAUGAGUCCGCUGAUCUCCCAGGGUUAAAAUGGAUGUCUGGAGUCACCAAAUGGAAGGUGUAUAACUGUUGGACCACAUGAGCUCCACCUCAUGCCUAACAGUCACUGCUAGCAGCUACUAGAGUUGAUGACUAAGGAGGGUCAGUGGUAUAAGGACUGGUCAGAGGUGCCAGCCGACCACCACACACAGAUCAGACCCACCAUGUUCCCUCCCCCCUGGAGGAGGGGCGGCAGGGUAGCCUAGUGGUUAGAGCGUUGGACUAGGUUGCAAGUUCAAAUCCCCGAGCUGACAAGUAUGAGGAUCCUGCCCCAUCACCAGAACACUGGAGGCUUCUUUGUAGCUGUCCUGGUCAAGAAAGCCCCCAUGCCCUGGAGCAGAACAAUCCCCAAGUUGAGGAAGGAGCAGACAUCCAGCUCAGUGCCCCAGCCAGAGGACUCUCCAGUGGACACCCCCCUCCUUGAGAGACCCCUGGAGGAUGGAGACGGAGGAGAAGAGGCAGGAGAGGACUCGCCCAAAGAGCUAGUCGAUCAGACCAAGGAACCCAACGUGUGUGGGUGAUCAACACAGAGGUGUAUGUGUGGUCUCUCAACAGCGACAAGGAGGGGUUUGGCUGUGUCUUCAGACUUGCCCAGGAGGGUAUCUACUCUGUUCCCCUACAUCCGCUCCAGGAUGAUCAUAAUCAGUGUUGAGGACAUCAAGAUUCUACUGACUCAGGAGAACCCGUACCUCAACAAAUUGGAGGAUGAUGCUCACCAACAGGCCAAGAAGAUUGAAAUGGGCAGCAUUGUUCUAAAGUAUCGGCCUGAUAGUAGUGUCCUAUAGAGCUGUGUGGCUAGAGAGCCAAGACCUCCAUCAGAGCUUUUGUACCCCGCAACGAGAGGUUCCACUACCUCCGCAUGCUGGGGGUCGAGGUAUUCCGGAACAAACAGGGACCGGGACCCAGGGAGAAGAGGAGGAGGUGGAGACGGAGAACAGGAACAAAAAUGGCAGCAUAAAAGAGGAGUUGAAAGUAGAGGUGACGAGCACCUGACAGGGGAGGGGAGAUAUUUACCAGCACCUGAGGGGAGGAGUAGAAAGACAUUUGUAUCUCAUUAGUCUUAACAAGUUUCUCUCUCUUUGUCUCCACCAUAUUGCUUUCACCCUUCUGUUUUUAUAUCAGUGGAGAUGUAGGUGAGGCGUUGAACCUCUUUAGACUAUUGCGACACAGGGAGUAAGGGAAAGGGAGGAGGAGGUGCUGUAUGAGCUGGAGCUAUGCUGGCCAGACUAGGGCUAGACCAAAUGUGAGGGAGAAGAGAUGAGUUGGGUAGCUCAGUAGAACUUCUAAUCCACUGCCAUAGCAGAAAGGCCACCCCUUGACCGAGCACCUAGUCUUCCAUGCUCCCCCAGACUUGGUACACUCCAGGGGUCGACGCUUUAGAAACUUAUUUUAGUUUCUACUGCUGAUUUGUUUUAACAGGGAACUCCACUGGCAGACAACUUUUUAAAAUUAUUAUUAUUGUGCAUGUUUGAAUGUUUAUCAACGGCUAUUUCAUUUUCUAUCAUUGUAAGGAAGAUGGAAUUGAUUAAAGAUAUUACAUUCA